UACGGGGGGGGCAAGCGUUGUUCGGAAUUACUGGGCGUAAAGGGCUCGUAGGCGGCCAACUAAGUCAGACGUGAAAUCCCCGGGCUCAACCCGGGAACUGCGUCCGAUACUGGCAGGCUUGAAUUCGGGAGAGGGAUGUGGAAUUCCAGGUGUAGCGGUGAAAUGCGUAGAUAUCUGGAGGAACACCGGUGGCGAAGGCGGCAUCCUGGACCGAUAUUGACGCUGAUGCGCGAAAGCCAGGGGAGCAAACGGG
rnacentral:rRNA from 1 species